rnacentral:rRNA from 1 species
UACAUGGGGUGCAAACGUUGAUCGGAAUUAUUGGGCGUAAAGCGCGCGUAGGCGGUUACUCAAGUCGGAUGUGAAAGCCCUCGGCUUAACUGAGGAAGUGCACCCGAAACUGAGUAGCUAGAGUACUAAAGAGGGUCGCGGAAUUCCCGGUGUAGAGGUGAAAUUCGUAGAUAUCGGGAGGAACACCGGUGGCGAAGGCGGCGACCUGGGUAGAUACUGACGCUGAGGCGCGAAAGCGUGGGGAGCAAACAGG